AGAACGAACGCUGGCGGCAUGCCUAAUACAUGCAAGUCGAACGAACACUUCGGUGUUAGUGGCGCACGGGUGCGUAACGCGUGGGAAUCUGCCCUUGGGUUCGGAAUAACAGUUGGAAACGACUGCUAAUACCGGAUGAUGACGUAAGUCCAAAGAUUUAUCGCCCAGGGAUGAGCCCGCGUAGGAUUAGCUAGUUGGUGAGGUAAAGGCUCACCAAGGCGACGAUCCUUAGCUGGUCUGAGAGGAUGAUCAGCCACACUGGGACUGAGACACGGCCCAGACUCCUACGGGAGGCAGCAGUGGGGAAUAUUGGACAAG
rnacentral:rRNA from 1 species